GUUGGUUCUUCGCUCGAGGUAGCAGGACAAGAGCGAGGCGAGUCCGAGGAAGCGGAGGGCGCGAGAAGCAGAAAACGCAGCGCCAACAGGAAGUUGAAACUCAGGGCAUAGGACCUGCGCAGAGGGGUCCGGUCACAGCCUUUUUAAAGAAACAGUGCAGCUGCUUUCCUGAGCGGUAACAAAGAACAUAAGAACGGGUUUACUGGGUUAGGCCAAAGGUCUAUCUUGUCCAGUGGUUCUCCAACUUUUGUACUAGUGACCCCUUUCACACAGCAAGCCUCUGUUUGCGACCCCCCUUAUAUAU